rnacentral:rRNA from 1 species
GACGAACGCUGGCGGCGUGCUUAACACAUGCAAGUCGAACGGAAAGGCCCUGCAUUUGUGGGUUGCUCGAGUGGCGAACGGGUGAGUAACAAGUGAGUAACCUGCCCUUGACUUUUGGAUAAUUUCAGGAAACUGGGGCUAAUACUGGCUCGUAGCUCCUGCUGCAUGGUGGGGGUUGGAUAGUUUCGGUGGUUGGGGAUGGACUCGCGGGUUAUCAGCUUGUUGGUGGGGUAGUGGCUUACCAAGGCUGUGCCGGGUAGCCGGCCUGAGAGGGUGAACGGCCACAUUGGGACUGAGGGACGGCCCAGACUCCAACGGGAGGCAGCAGUGGGGAAUAUUGCACAAUGGGCGGAAGCCUGAGGCAGCAACGCCGCGUGCGGGAUGACGGCCUGCGGGUUGUAAACCGCUGUCGCCUGUGACGAAGCGGGAGUGACGGUAAUGGGUAAAGAAGCACCGGCUAACUACGUG